rnacentral:snoRNA from 1 species
GUGCAAAUUUCAUUGAUUUUCUUGUCAUUUUUUUAAAGAGAAAAGAUGCUUCUCAUAUGCUAAAUAAACUUUUGUAGGUAAAUUAAAAACAUGAUCAAUAUCUAGUUUGUUCCUUCAGGAAAGA